rnacentral:RNase_P_RNA from 2 species
GCAGGCAGCCGGACGGCCGCUGCCGGCGUCGCGCAGGCGUUCGCCGGGAGAGGAAAGUCCGAACUCCACAGGGCGGUGUGCCGGAUAACGUCCGGGAUUCAGGCUUCAAGGCCUGAAGACGGCUAGUGCCACAGAGAAGAUACCGCCCGCGUCCGCAAGGACGCAGGUAAGGGUGAAAAGGUGCGGUAAGAGCGCACCGCCCCGGCGGCAACGCACGGGGGCAGGGUAAACCCCACACGGAGCAAGACCAAAUAGGGAGGAAUGCGCAGCCAGGUCCAGACAGCUGCGCAGCGUGCCGGCCCGGCGCGCCAACGUGGAUCCUCCAGACGGAUGGCCAACAGGCCAUCGCGUGGAGCGGAAACCUCCGGGUAGGUCGCUUGAGCGGCGCAGUAAUGCGUCGCCUAGAGGAAUGGCCGUCCUCGACAAAAUUCGGCUUACAGGCUGCCUGCAACA